rnacentral:rRNA from 1 species
UGUGACCUCAAAUCAGGUAGGACUACCCGCUGAACUUAAGCAUAUCAAUAAGCGGAGGAAAAGAAACUAACAAGGAUUCCCCUAGUAACUGCGAGUGAAGCGGGAAAAGCUCAAAUUUAAAAUCUGGCGGUCUUUUGGCUGUCCGAGUUGUAAUCUAGAGAAGUGUUAUCCGCGCUGGACCGUGUACAAGUCUCCUGGAAUGGAGCAUCAUAGAGGGUGAGAAUCCCGUCUUUGACAUGGACUGCCAGGGCUUUGUGAUGCGCUCUCAAAGAGUCGAGUUGUUUGGGAAUGCAGCUCAAAAUGGGUGGUAAAUUCCAUCUAAAGCUAAAUAUUGGCGAGAGACCGAUAGCGAACAAGUACCGUGAGGGAAAGAUGAAAAGAACUUUGGAAAGAGAGUUAAACAGUACGUGAAAUUGCUGAAAGGGAAACGCUUGAAGUCAGUCAYGUCGUCCAGGGAUCAACCUUGCUUUUGCUUGGUGCACUUUCUGGUUUGACGGGUCAGCAUCAAUUUUGACUAUUGGAAAAAGGCUCUAGGGAAUGUGGCAUCUU